UGAAACCUAUUGUCUCUCAAACUCUUCGAAACCCUAGUCUCCUUCUUCCCCCCUUCAACCACCACUCCAUCCUAAUCCAUGGUUUCUCGGGCCAUGGAUAGUUGGUACUCACUCCCCUCCAUCAGUAUGCCAUGGUUGUUCGAAGUUGCGAGACUGGACCUCGAUGGCUCCCUUUCAGAUCAAUUAAUCUAUAGCUUCUCUGGCCCUUACUCCAGCAUAUUCGAGCAAUAUGAGUCUUUUAGACACGAGAUCAGACUUUCCUAAAGACAUUUCUUAUUUCUAGGGGUUUCUCUGCAUUCCAUGGCUAUUCAAGGUUCUUUCUAAUUUUCUUUUCUUUGAUCUGCCACAUAUCUAUGCUCCGCUUGAGUUUUCAAACGAUUUUCCCCAUUUUUCUUUGAAAAAUAACUUUAUUCAAGAUCUUCCUUUUCCGAUCUAAGGUUUUCCAAAAAUUUUAAGUGAUUUCUGACUUUUCUUUACCUUUAUGUGUACUUGCUCCUACUGUGUUCUUGUAUUCUUCCUUUUACC
rnacentral:lncRNA from 1 species